AUCUUUGACAGCUUUAAAGGAAUUUGCACAAAGGAAGGAGACAGCUGCUGUUCUGAUGAAGGAUUUUUCUGAGCAGGCCUCCCAAGCUAGACGUGCCACUAUGAGAUGCUGCCUACGCUUUUCAUCAUGAGCAACAGACGAAUUGUAGUAAAUGUCCACCUUCGAUACUGAGGAAAAGGCCACCCGUGAACCAAGCUGUGAGCGAAAAGCGAAAAGCAGAGAGAAGGGUUCGAUUUCGUGAGCCAGAGAUCACUGGAUAUGACAUUUCCUGCUGGGACUACAGAGUUGGUAAGUUGAAGUUUUACAUUAUAACUGUGGGCCGUCCUUGGCACUAACCUGAGAUUGCCUACCUGCUGCUGCGAUUAAUUGUGCAGCGAUACUCCAUGAAUAGGAAUUGUUUCAUGCUGUCAGUGUUUUUGUGUGUGCAUGAAGCACAAUAGGUGAUCAGUUCUGCUCCAGUAUUUUAAACCAACAGAGGGUAAGACAAAUAGAGGAAACAAGAAUUCAGUUCCUGGAGCCAUGUUUAAUUUAAACAUAAUUAAUACAUUUUAUGGCAAUAAAAUGGGUCCAGGUUUUUCA
rnacentral:lncRNA from 1 species